rnacentral:lncRNA from 1 species
GAAAACGGAAUAUUGAAGAGAUGGGGAAAUGGUGUGACCUGCAGUUGCCAAUUCAUGAUUUGAUGGCUUCGAGGCUCAGCCUCAGUGCUAUAGUACUGACAAGGAAGCUGAGGUUUGGAGGUUAAGCGACUUGUCGCCUGCUGAUGAGUGAUGACAAUCAGGCUGUCUGCCUCGGGCCACACCCUGAGGCUGCUAGGCAGUGUCUGCUGAGACAAGGCCAAGGCGGGCUGCUCGCUCUGGGCAGACCCACUGGGGGCCUGUGGAGCUGUCUGCAGUCAGCAGAGCUGGUAGUGAGCUCUCUCUCCCCAGCGGGGAAGUCAUCAAGAAAUCUCCCAUUUUCAUCUUCCUGCAGGCACGUCUCCCUAGAGAGGAGUCUCCCUGGGAGGAUGCUAGGUCCCCUGUGGACCCUGGGAGUUCCUGGAGGAUGUCCCUGCUCCGUGACUACUGGCGAAGUUCCUCCGGGGUUAUCCGGUCCUCGCCAAGCCCACCUCUUGCCUUUCAUUUCAACUCUGAAAUAUGCACCAGGCAAAUUCCACAAACAUUGACGGAACCCUUGCCAAGGUCCAGAACCAUGUUGAGGAAUUGGUCCACAUUUCCUCAUUUAACCCUACUGUAAUCCUCAGAGGCCACUUUAUCAUUUCCAUUUUAUAGAAAUCCAGAGGAGUGAAGAGGACUGUUCCAGGCAACUUGGCUAAUAAAUAAAAUUAUUACGCCUGCAAUUUAUUGGGCAUCUACGA